AUUUUGAUGGCGACCGGCGGACGGGUGCGUAACAAGUAUGUAACCUACCUUCUUCUAGAAAAUAGCCUGAGGAAACUAGGAUUAAUAUUCUAUAAUAUAGUAUUUUCGCAUGGAAAUAUUAUUAAAGUAAAAAUGCGGAAAAAGAUGGGCAUGCGCCCGAUUAGUUAGUUGGUGGGGUAAAGGCCUACCAAGACGAUGAUCGGUAGGGGGCCUGAGAGGGUGAUCCCCCACACUGGUACUGAGAUACGGACCAGACUCCUACGGGAGGCAGCAGUGAGGAAUAUUGGUCAAUGGAGGAAACUCUGAACCAGCCACGCCGCGUGCAGGAAGAAUGCGUUAUGGGUUGUAAACUGCUUUUGUUUAGGAAUAAAAAUUUCUACGUGAUAGAAAUUGUGAAGGUACUAGACGAAUAAGUGUCGGCAAACUCCGUGCCAGCAGCCGCGGUAAUACGGAGGACACAAGCGUUAUCCGGAUUUAUUGGGUUUAAAGAGUGCGUAGGCGGUUUAUUAAGUCAGUAGUGAAAUGUUACAGCUUAACUGUUAAAAUGGCUAAUGAUACUGAUAGACUUGAGUGAGAUNGGAGUAACUGGAAUGUGUGGUGUAGCGGUGAAAUGCAUAGAGAUCACACAGAACACCGAUCGCGAAAGCAGGUUACUAAAUCUAUACUGACGCUGAGGCACGAAAGCGUGGGGAGCAAACAGGAUUAGAUACCCUGGUAGUCCACGCCGUAAACGAUGAUCACUAGUCGUUGGAUUUUAUUAUUCAGUGGCUAAGCGAAAGUGAUAAGUGAUCCACCUGGGGAGUACGACCGCAAGGUUGAAACUCAAAGGAAUUGACGGGGGCCCGCACAAGCGGUGGAGCAUGUGGUUUAAUUCGAUGAUACGCGAGGAACCUUACCAAGGUUUAAAUGUACUACGAAUAAACUAGAAAUAGUUUAGUCUUCGGACGGAGUACAAGAUGCUGCAUGGUUGUCGUCAGCUCGUGCCCUGAGGUGUUGGGUUAAGUCCCUCAACGAGCGCAACCCUCAUUGUUAGUUGCCAACGAAUAAUGUCGGGGACUCUAGCAAGACUGCCGACGUAAGUCGAGAGGAAGGUGGGGACGACGUCAAAUCAUCACGGCUCUUAUACCUUGGGCUACACACGUGCUACAAUGGUCGGUACAAAGAGUUGCUA
rnacentral:rRNA from 1 species